UACGAAGGGUGCAAGCGUUAAUCGGAAUUACUGGGCGUAAAGGGUGCGUAGGCGGUUAUUUAAGUCUGCCGUGAAAUCCCCGGGCUCAACCUGGGAAUUGCAAUGGAUACUGGCAGGCUGGAGUAUGGUAGAGGAAGGUGGAAUUCCCGGUGUAGCAGUGAAAUGCGUAGAGAUCGGGAGGAACACCAGUGGCGAAGGCGGCCUUCUGGACCAAUACUGACGCUCAUGCACGAAAGCGUGGGGAGCAAACAGG
rnacentral:rRNA from 1 species